UGCAGUGCCUUUUAAACCUGUUUUACUGUGAAAAAAAUACUUUUAAACAGUGCAUCUAAAAUAAACUGCGCGUGUGAAAAUAAAUUGGACCUGACGCGCCUGAGACGCGCUGAAUAAAUGGACCGCUAAGGGUUAAGACAGGUUUGUUAGAUGCUGGCUAUAGGCUUUGGGAUAAAAGUGUGUGACAGAGAAAAAAUGAUUCUUGGCGAUACAUGUCCCUCCCAACCUGUGACGGCGCUGUGUAAAGGGAACAGAGUGCCCUGGACUGGAUGGCCAGACAAUUCAUUCCCAUUGUUAGGCUGAAGUUGGUCAUCCAGAAAGGGGGCGGAGCUCUGGUACACUAAAUCAUCGACCCGGAAGGGAAACGAUGUGGCAGCCAUGGAUUGGAGGAGCUGUUGCACUCAUUAACCAAGGGGUCAUGAUGGAGUGUUUGUUUGUAAUGGUUAAAGCUAAACCGACAGGAGACCUGUGUUGUGAACCAUGAGGGUUUUGUUUGUUUUGUUUGUCGUUUCUAAAUUGUACUUGUUUGUUAUUUAGACGGCUAACACAAUCCGGAGCUGUCGCCAAAGACCAGCACUAAACCCAGACACUAUGUCACGGAGAACUGUAAUUGCACCAUGAGCACUUUAGCACUCACUGUGGGCUUGCGUUUGUGUUUUGUGUUACGUGUGGGUGUUUAGGAAAUGUGACUGUUUAUUAAUUCGGGACCAAACCUGUGGAUUACAAUAAAGCAGUCCACGCUGCUGUAUUGCUUCUCAUUAUCAUUGUUUAUUCUUUACCACUGUAUUUGGGUCAUCAGACCAAUUGGAUUGUAAAAAUAUUAUUAUUAUUAUUAUUUAUUAUUAUAUUUGUUUAUUUAGCAGACGCCUUUAUCCAAGGCGACUUACAGAGACUAGGGUGUGUGAACUAUGCAUCAGCUGCAGAGUCACUUACAAUUACGUCUCACCCGAAAGACGGAGCACAAGGAGGUUAAGUGACUUGCUCAGGGUCACACAAUGAGUCAGUGGCUGAGGUGGGAUUUGAACCGGGGACCUCCUGGUUACAAGCCCAUCAUUGCACCUGGAUUAUCAUUGUCUGUCCGUUCAUUAAUCACUGCAUUACCUGCACCUGUACACUGUUAACCACUUUGCAAUAAGAUACAAAGGGAUGGAUCACGCAUCACUUGCAGCGCUGAGAGGGUCGGGCUGACGAUACAGCUCACUGCACCAGCAGGCCCUGUGAUGAUGGCCCCAAAGGCCAGGACACAAAAGAUUAUUAUUAUUAUUAUUAUUAUUAUUAUUUGUUUAUUUAGCAGACGCCUUUAUCGAAGGCAACUUACAGAGACUAGGGUGUGUGAACUAUGCAUCAGCUGCAGAGUCACUUACAAUUACGUCUCACCCGAAAGACGGAGCACAAGGAGGUUAAGUGACUUGCUCAGGGUCACACAAUGAGUCAGUGGCUGAGGUGGGAUUUGAACCGGGGACCUCCUGGUUACAAGCCCGUUUCUUUAACCACUGGACCACACAGCCAAAAGAUGAUGGUGGAGGAUGACCCAGAGGCUUACCUGGUCGCUUUUGAGCGGCUGGCUACCACCACGUAAUGGCCCAAGGAAUUCUGGGCAAGCCAGCUGGGACCCUGUCUGAUCAAGGAGGCUACCAGGCCAUGACGGACGACGAAGCUGCCCACUACGACCUGGUAAAGCAAGCCAUUCUGUGCCGCCUGAACAUCACGGGGGAAACACACAGAGUACGGCUUCACGAGUACAAGAGGUCCCCGGAUACACACCCCAGGGUUGUUGCACAAAAGUUGUGUGAUCACAUGGUGCACUGGCUCAACUCCACCCAGAAAACAAGUAUGGAAAUGGGCGAGGCAAUCGUGGUUGAGCAGUUCUGCCAUGUGGUUGGCGCUGAAACACAGGAGUGGAUACGGCACCACAACCCCGACAACCUAGAAGAGGCUGUGAAACUCGCUGUAGAUUUCAAGGACUCCCUAGUUUCUGCCCAGGCCAGCCUACUCACCAAUCCAGCACAACGGAGCAGCCGAGUACCACCUCUUCUCUCUGCUCCACCAUCACCGGGACUGGGUCAGAGACCUCCUAGACUGCCGACCCCAAUGGGCAACCUUACCUCCCCUCAAUGGAGGCCAAGGUUGACCCCCAGCUGGGGUAGAGUUGCUGCCCCUGCUCCGUUGCCAUACCAGCAACGGGACAGAUAGUUAACCUCUGAUCCCUUAUUUUCCCCUACCUGUUUUAUAUGCCACCAGCCAGGACACCAAGCCAAGUCAUGCCCAUCUGCGAUGGUGUGUGACAUGGUGACGUGCAAUUGGGUAUCAGAAGCGGGUAAGCGAGGGGCCUUGUAUUGUUAAUGUGAUUUUGGGAAAUGUGAAAACCCACGCAUUAAUGGACACAGGGUGUGGGCAGACCUUAAUUAAGGCAACUCUCUUAGGUGGUGUGUCAGGUGGCUAUCUCUUGUAUCCAUGGAGACACAGCGACAUACCCCACGGUCAAAGUAUACUUAUUGGUAGGACUGAUAAAAUGUCACCUAGUAGUUGGGGUGGCAGAAAGGCUACCACACCCAGUAAUUCUGGGCCGAGAUUGGCCAAACUAUAAUGAAUUGGUGAAAUUAAUGUCAGUCUCGACCGCACACACACAUAAACGUGGCAGAAAAGAAAGAAGAAAAUAAUUGGUGAUGUUUUUCCCUUUCAAACUGAAAUGUUUUCCCCCCUUUUUCAUCCAAGAAAAACAAACAAAUAGAGACGGAUCAGAAAAUGGGAGGGAGCAUUAAUGAGACGAGGUGUCUGGUGGAAGAAUGCUCCAAUGGUAACAAAUGCCAGUCAAAGGGGGUCGGAACGCAGUGAGACCAAGAGGGCGAGGUUACUGGGCCAUCUAGGGCAGAUGCUACUCCAGCCCCUCUCAAUAUACCGGACAUGUAGCACUUAAGCACGGACAUAGUGUGGGGCCAACACAACGACCCCUUACUAGUGCACACUUGAGGACAGGUCCGUUCUAUUGAAGGUAGGGAUGUUGAAGGAGUUGGGGCGCUAAUAUUUCCGCACUUCAUUAUUAAGGGGCAAUUAUUGAAUAGGGUAAACAUAGCCACAGGCACAGGACAGCCUGUAACACAAUUGAUAGUUCCCCCGUUUUGUCGGCUUGAGGUCGCUGGCGCAUGAUAUCCCUUUUGCGGGGCACCUCGGAUCUGAUAAAAUGAAGGAACGGAUAUUGGUUUGAUUUUAUUGGGUAGGGCUUCAUAAUGAAGUGAUGAAGCCCUUUGCUACCUUCUGAUUCCGGGUAUACACGUAUAUUAGUGGUGGUAGAUUAUGCAAUGCGUUACCUGGAAGCAGUUCCAUUGAGGUCCACUAGUGCAGCUGCGAUUGCCAAAGAAUUAUUGCAGAUUAUGGAGAGAGUAGGGAUCCCCAAGGAAAUCCUGACUGAUCAUGGAACUAAGUUUCUGUCUAACAUGUUACAGCAAGUGUACAAAAUAUUAAAAAUACAUCCCAUAAGGACAUCUGUUUAUCAUCCACAGACAAAUGGUUUAGUGGAGCUUUUCAAUCAGACCUUAAAGCAGAUGCUGAGAUGAUUUGUAAACCAAGAGCAAAAGCAUUGGGCAUCGCUUCUCCCCUACCUACUUUUUGCAGUGAGAGAGGUGCCGCAGAGUUUGACAAGGUUCCCCUUCGAGCUCUUGUAUGGCCGACAGCCUCGUGGCAUCCUCGAUCUGUUGAGAGAGGGGUGGGAAGAGCACAAAGGCUCGUCCAAAAAUGUAGUGCAGCAUGUGCUCCUACUGAGAGAUCGCCAGGAUUUGGUUGGUCGUUUGGCCCAGGACAAUCUCAAAGUGGCUCAGCACCGACAACAGCAGCAUUACAAUAAAAACGCAAGAAUUCAAACCUUUCGACUAGGAAAAGUAAUGCUUCUUCCUUCAUCAGAAUCGAAAUUAUGUGCUAAAUGGCAGGGGCCAUAUGAGGUGAUUCAGGCUAUAGGAGAGGUGAAUUAUGAAAUUAGACAGCCCGAUCGUCGUAAUGAACGAGAAAUUUAUCGUGUACAUUUUUUAAAACCCUGGCAGGCAAGGGAGGCCUUAUUUAUAACAUCAGGCGAAGUAGAGGAUGAUUUAGGUCCCGGUCUAGAGACCUCUAGCACUAAAGACAUUUCGAUGGGGGAACAGUUAUUUCCAGAUCAGCAAUGAGAGCUGCGUUCAGCGAUGUUAUUUCUGUCUUGCCGGUAGAACUAACCUUGUUGAAUAUGACAUUAUCUCUCCCUCAGGUGUCACAGUAUGAGAAAGACCUUACCGGAUCCCAGAAAGUCAACGUAGUGGCAUUAGCAAAGAGCGGAGGAGUAGGAGCGAGGGGCUGCAGCCACUGAGCCAGCACAAUCCCCGGAGCACUUCCCUCAGAGCACGGCACCAACCACUCACCACAAUCCCUGGAAUUACAGAGCACAGUUUUCGUGCACGGAGGAUCGUGGAUUAGAAGUGUUUUUCUUUUGUUAUUUUUGUUAUUUUGUUUCUUAAACUUUAUUAAAUAAAUCACGGACAUUUUAGGAGAA